rnacentral:tRNA from 1 species
UCUUCAAUAGCUCAAUUGGUAGAGCAUAUGGCUGUUAACCAUAGCGUUGUUGGUUCGAGUCCAAUUUGGGGAG